AAGUCGUAACAAGGUUUCCGUAGGUGAACCUGCGGAAGGAUCAUUAACACGUAGAUCAUUAACAAGGAUAGCGCUUCUACAAUUCCUGUAGACCGUACACUCGGGCAGGAGCUUUCCCAAAGGGUCCCCAUGCCCCCUAAUAACCCCACAGUUUAAUGUGAAGCUCAAUGUAAUCCAUUGGGUAAAAAAACCGAACAACUGUUAACAAUGGAUAUCUUGGUUCUC
rnacentral:misc_RNA from 1 species